UACAGAGGUCUCAAGCGUUGUUCGGAUUCAUUGGGCGUAAAGGGUGCGUAGGCGGCGCGGUAAGUCGGGUGUGAAAUCUCGGGGCUUAACUCCGAAACUGCAUUCGAUACUGCCGUGCUUGAGGACUGGAGAGGAGAUUGGAAUUCCUGGUGUAGCGGUGGAAUGCGCAGAUAUCAGGAGGAACACCGGUGGCGAAGGCGGAUCUCUGGGACUUGACUGACGCUGAGGCGCGAAAGCUAGGGGAGCGAACAGG
rnacentral:rRNA from 1 species